GGCACUGUAGCUCAGUCGGUAGAGCACCUGCUUAACACGCAUGUUGUCCUCGGUUCGAGCCCGGGCAGAGUCA
rnacentral:tRNA from 1 species